UGGUUCAGUUGGUAGAGCAUGGUGUUUGCAACGCCAGGGUUGUGGGUUCGAUUCCCAU
rfam:Salmo salar isolate Sally breed double haploid chromosome ssa27, whole genome shotgun sequence.